rnacentral:rRNA from 1 species
CGGAGGAAAAGAAACCAACAGGGAUUGCCCCAGUAACGGCGAGUGAAGCGGCAACAGCUCAAAUUUGAAAUCUGGCCCCAGGCCCGAGUUGUAAUUUGCAGAGGAUGCUUUUGGCGCGGUGCCUUCCGAGUUCCCUGGAACGGGACGCCAUAGAGGGUGAGAGCCCCGUACGGUUGGACACCAAGCCUUUGUAAAGCUCCCUUCGACGAGUCGAGUAGUUUGGGAAUGCUGCUCAAAAUGGGAGGUAUAUUUCUUCUAAAGCUAAAUAUAGGCCAGAGACCGAUAGCGCACAAGUAGAGUGAUCGAAAGAUGAAAAGCACUUUGAAAAGAGGGUUAAACAGCACGUGAAAUUGUUAAAAGGGAAGCGCUUGUGACCAGACUUGCGUCCGGUGAAUCACCCAGCUCUCGCGGCUGGGGCACUUCGCCGGCACAGGCCAGCAUCAGCUUGCCGUCGGGGACAAAAGCUUCAGGAACGUAGCUCUCUUCGGGGAGUGUUAUAGCCUGUUGCAUAAUACCCUUCGGCGGGCUGAGGUACGCGCUCCGCAAGGAUGCUGGCGUAAUGGUCAUCAGCGACCCGUCUUGAAACACGGACCAAGGAGUCAACCUUAUGUGCGAGUGUUUGGGUGUUAAACCCCUACGCGUAAUGAAAGUGAACGCAGGUGAGAGCUUCGGCGCAUCAUCGACCGAUCCUGAUGUUCUCGGAUGGAUUUGAGUAAGAGCAUAUAGGGUUGGACCCGAAAGAAGGUGAACUAUGCGUGUGUAGGGUGAAGCCAGAGGAAACUCUGGUGGAGGCUCGCAGCGGUUCUGACGUGCAAAUCGAUCGUCAAACAUGCGCAUGGGGGCGAAAGACUAAUCGAACCUUCUAGUAGCUGGUGCGU